UCCGGACGCAUGUGGUAUAAUUGCCUUAGCGAAUAUUUGUUGAAAGAUGGUUAUAAAAAUGACGAUAUCUGUCCAUGUGUUUUCAUAAAUAAAACAAAUAUUGGAUUUACAAUUGUAGCAGUUUAUAUUGAUGAUUAAAUUUAAUUGGAACUCCUGAAGAGCUUAACACUGCAGAUUAUUUGAGAAAUGAGUUUGAGAUGAAAGAUUUGGGAAAAAUCAAAUUUUGUCUUGGAUUACAAAUUGAACAUUUUUCAGAGGGAUUAUUUGUUCAUCAAUCUACUUAUACAGAAAAAGUCUUGAAACGCUUUUAUAUGGAUAAUGCACAUCCAUUGCCAUCACCUAUGGUUGUUCGAUCACUUGAUGUGAAAAAAGAUCCAUUUCGUCCACUUGAAGAUGGAGAAAAGAUUUUUGGUCCUGAAAUACUAUACCUUAGCGCAAUUGGAGUAUUAACUUAUCUUGCAAAUUGCACUCGACCUGACAUAGCUUUUUCUGUAGAUCUCCUUACAAGAUAUAACUCUACACCAACUCAAAGGCAUUGGAAUGGUGUUAAAACAUAUUUUUCGUUACCUAAAAGAUACUAUUGAUAUGAGACUAUUUUAUUCUCAAAAGUCACGAUCUGCUUUAGUGGGAUAUGCAGAUGCAGGUUAUCUCUCCGAUCCACAUAAAGCUAAAUCACAAACAGGAUAUGUGUUUACACGUGGAAGAACAGUUAUAUCAUGGAAAUUUGUGAAGCAAUCCUUGACAGCAACAUCCUCAAAUCAUUCUGAGAUUAUUGCAAUCCAUGAAGCAGGGCGAGAAUGUGUAUGGUUGAGGAAUAUGACCCAUCAUAUCCAAUCAUCAUGUGGAUUGACUUCAACAAAAAAUAGUCCAACAAUUUUGUUUGAAGAUAAUGCAGCUUGUAUCGCACAACUCAAGGGAGGCUAUAUCAAAGGCGACAGGACGAAGCACAUUUCUCCAAAAUUUUUUCAUACACAUGAAUUUCAGAAGAAUGGUGACAUUGAUAUUCAACAAAUUCACUCAAGUGACAAUGUGACCGAUCUAUUCACAAAAGCGUGCAAACAUCUACAUUCAAGAAAUUAGUUCAUGAGAUAGGAAUGCAUCGACUCAAAGAUUUUCAGUGAUCAACAUCAGGGGGAGUAGCUGUACUCUUUUUUCUUCACUUAGGUUUUGUCCCAUUAGAUUUUCCUAGCAAGGUUUUAAUAAGGUAGCAUUUAAUUUUAAUACUCUAAAAUAACUGUACUUUUUUUCUUUCGUUUGAUUUUUUUUCCAUUGGGUUUUUAUCAAACAAGAUUUUAACGAGAUAGAUAUUUUGUAAUAUGUCAUUCAAGAGGGAGUGUUGUAAAUGGAAAGUCCAUUAAAUUUUAUUGGUGAAUGACAUUUGUACCCAUGUAGCCUUAUAAAUUAUUACCAUUGUAUCCCUGAUUCUUACUUAUAAAUAUAGGGCUUUGAUUUUCAAUAAUAUACAUAAAAUAUUUAUUGAGUUUUCUCUAUUCUCUUUUCCUCUCAUUUUAUAACAGUGUGAAUAUUAUUACUCAUUUAAAAAUUCUUCUAAUUAUAAGUAUUCACAUCUAAGAUUUUAAUGGAUUUUAAUGAAAUUCAUUAAAUUUUAUGUGUUCCGAACCGAUAUUUUAAUGCAUUUCAGCGAAAUCCUUUAAAAUUUAGGUGUCCUUAAUUUAUUGUAAUUCGACAUUAUUGUAAAGGUUCACUAAAUCUUUUGAAGCAAUGUAUGAGAUACUAUAUAUUUUUUGUGAGGUGUUUU
rnacentral:lncRNA from 1 species